UACAGAGGUCUCAAGCGUUGUUCGGAUUCAUUGGGCGUAAAGGGUGCGUAGGCGGCGCGGUAAGUCGGGUGUGAAAUCUCGGAGCUUAACUCCGAAACUGCAUUCGAUACUGCCGUGCUUGAGGACUGGAGAGGAGACUGGAAUUUACGGUGUAGCGGUGAAAUGCGUAGAUAUCGUAAGGAAGACCAGUGGCGAAGGUGGGUCUCUGGACAGUUCCUGACGCUGAGGCACGAAGGUCAGGGGAGCAAACGGG
rnacentral:rRNA from 1 species